CACUGUGAUUUCUUCAUGUUAAGGAUCAAGAUCAUUAUUUGGGUAACACACUAAAGAUGAACUGUUCUCCAGGCUUAGUAUCUGUGAUACUCUUACUGCUUGGAAGAACGCGUGGAGAUUCAGUGACCCAGAUGGAAGGGCCAGUGACUCUCUCAGAAAGGGCCUUCCUGACUAUAAACUGCACGUACACAGCCACAGGAUAUCCUUCCCUUUUCUGGUAUGUCCAAUAUCCUGGAGAAGGUCCACAACUCCUCCUGAAAGCCGUGAAGACUGAUGAGAAGGGAAGCAACAAAGGUUUUGAAGCCACAUACCGUAAAGAAACCACUUCUUUCCACUUGAAGAAAGACUCAGUUCAAGAGUCAGAUUCAGCUGUGUACUUCUGUGCUCUGAGUGACACAGUGACAGGGACUGCAAGGGGAGCUGAGCACAAACUCUGAGCAGCACGAGGGGCCCGGGUGC